rnacentral:rRNA from 1 species
UGCAAGUCGAACGAUGAACCUCCUUCGGGAGGGGAUUAGUGGCGAACGGGUGAGUAACACGUGGGCAAUCUGCCCUGCACUCUGGGACAAGCCCUGGAAACGGGGUCUAAUACCGGAUAUGAGCUUCCACCGCAUGGUGGGGGCUGUAAAGCUCCGGCGGUGCAGGAUGAGCCCGCGGCCUAUCAGCUUGUUGGUGAGGUAACGGCUCACCAAGGCGACGACGGGUAGCCGGCCUGAGAGGGCGACCGGCCACACUGGGACUGAGACACGGCCCAGACUCCUACGGGAGGCAGCAGUGGGGAAUAUUGCACAAUGGGCGCAAGCCUGAUGCAGCGACGCCGCGUGAGGGAUGACGGCCUUCGGGUUGUAAACCUCUUUCAGCAGGGAAGAAGCGAGAGUGACGGUACCUGCAGAAGAAGCGCCGGCUAACUACGUGCCAGCAGCCGCGGUAAUACGUAGGGCGCAAGCGUUGUCCGGAAUUAUUGGGCGUAAAGAGCUCGUAGGCGGCUUGUCACGUCGGAUGUGAAAGCCCGGGGCUUAACCCCGGGUCUGCAUUCGAUACGGGCAGGCUAGAGUUCGGUAGGGGAGAUCGGAAUUCCUGGUGUAGCGGUGAAAUGCGCAGAUAUCAGGAGGAACACCGGUGGCGAAGGCGGAUCUCUGGGCCGAUACUGACGCUGAGGAGCGAAAGCGUGGGGAGCGAACAGGAUUAGA